UUUUUAUUCCAAGGUUGCCUGAGGAUUAUGCUGUCUGGUUAAGGGAGAUAAAGCCAUUGUCGCACUUUAAGGUAGUUUUUGUGGAGUUGCUUUGGUCUUGUUAGUUUGUUCAAUGCUUUUUAAGCCAUUUCUUUUGCUGAAGGAAACGUAUAUGGUUGACAUGGUUUACUAUGUGGAUGAAGAGGUUAUCCAAGUCUUGAGUGAACAAUUCAAGGGAUCUGGAAAGCCCAUGUUGUAUCACAAGGAGUCGAUUCUAGUGAUUUGGAGCAAGUAGUGCCUGAUACUUAUCAAAUAUUGUGCAGGUCAAUUGUAAAUUUACAAGUGGCCAGAGUCUAAUCUACAAUGCUGUUCUGAAAGCACAUAAUUCUGUAAUCUCUGCGAUGAAGAUAUGCACAAGUAAGAUUAACCGAGAUGCUAUAUAGCCCUGUUUAAGUGUGCACGCAGAUGCAGUCACUGGGAUUAACUAUGAGCUUAAGCUUGUAUUCUCAGUUUGCUAUUAUCUAUUUUGAAUUACGGAUUACAUCUCCAUAUGAUUAUUCUCGUUUCAAAUUAUUUUCAUUUUACUAAUCUUUGUUUUCGUAUUUUUAUUUUAAAAUAUAUGUUUAAAAUGUUAUCUUUUACUGUGUUUUAUUUAAAAAAUAAAAUUUUCCUUUAAUAAAACAAUGUUUAAUA